CCUUAGUGAUGAGGAUUUUUAGGCUGCUUAAUUUUAAAAUGGCUUAUGAUGAGGAUUUUUAGGCUGGUUAGUUUUAAAACUACAGAUGAGAUUCAGGCUCCAAGGAGUGGAAUUUGUUUGCCUCUUUGUUGGGAAACAUUUACAUUUCUAAGGGAAACCUCUAUCUGUGAAGAUGCCUCCCUCUCUGUGCCAGGAAGAGGGGGGGAUGGUCUUAUCUCUAGAGGCUCUUGGUCAAUGCCAGAGGCAAGAACUUAAGUUGGUUACUGUCUGGCAACCUCAUGUGACUGACCCUCCCCCCCACAAAUCCUCCUUUGUCUUUAGCUGAGGAUAAAAUUCAAGCGGUGACUUCUGCCAUUUACUCAAUCCGGUUUGAUUCUUAUCUACCAUUUUAACUUUUUUACAUAUUCUUUGUCUUGUAAAGAGAUGACUCACAUACCUAUGCCUUAAAUUUAGUCCUAACCCUCAAGUCGGGGCAGCAGCAGGAGCUCUGACUGCCCGUGGGUCCUGUCCCCACGCACCAGCUCUGCCUGCCCAUGGGUCCUGUCCCCAUGCCAGCGGGGGCAGCAGCAGCAGCUCUGCCUGCCCAUGGGCUCUGUCCCCGUACCAGCGGGGGCAGCAGAAGCUCUGACUGCCCAUGGGUCCUGUCCCCAUGCUAUUCCACACUAUUCUCUAAAUAAAAGAGCACUACUGCCAGAUCUUGAGAGUCUAAGAAAUCUUUCUUUCGACUCCUCGGCUCACCGACCCCGCAUCACUUAGCAUGGUGCUUCUUUCUUGUUUCUCAGUCUCCCUUAGAGUCUUAGCUCCUGCAAAUUUCUCAAGAGCACCUUGAAAUUCAGAGAUGCCAAUUUCUAGUCCUUUAAGGCAUCAUACUGUUUACUUCUCUGUGAAGGUAUGUGCCAUCCUUUCUGCAUGGCAUGCUUUCUUCUUAUCCUUCCCAUCUCUGCACAACUUAUUUUCUUAUCAGGUGGAGUAUAUUCUACUCCUACUCAUCAUUAAAGAUUCAACUCUGGAGCAAACCUUUUCAAUAGUUUUCCUAACACUCCUGAAAUCUCCCUCUCUGUCUCAAUUCCAUCCGCUGGUUUCCAUUGCAUUCAGUGUUCACCUUUAACUGUACAUUACCUUAGUGUGGUGUAAUUUCGUCUUAACUGUGACACGCUUGAGGGAAAGUACUUUGUAUCCCCAGCACCUGGAAUAGUACCUGGCACAAACAUGGCAUUCAGAAAGACCUGUGAAAUGAACGACCAUGUUCAAUGCUCCCACGGUACUUUAUACUUCUUCUCACUGCCUUGUAGUUCUUUCAUUUACAAAUCUUUCUCUACUGGAUUAUGAAACAUCCCCAACAGUUACACAAUUCUAGACACAAACUAAGUACUGUAGAAAUGUUAACUGAUGUCUAAUUUGCAAGUUUUUAUGUAUUUCAAAAUACUAUUCAAGGUUAGGAUCUAUUUCAGAGAUUAAUAUAAAACAGGAUAUAUGACUUGUUACUAUUUUAGUGGUGACCAUAAGAUGUGAAUGAGAAGAACUUGAUACUAAUUUUAUAUGGACUUACUUCCUCUUCCACAUUUAAUUUUCUUGGCUUUUCAAGAUUGUUCCUAACAAAUAUAAGUUUUAUCAAUGUCUUCUUAAGGGAAAUGGAAGAAAUAAGAGGGAAGAAGAACAGAAGAUGGAAAGCGACUUGUGACUUGUGAACCUGUGAACAGAGGAAGGAAAAGGAAAGAAUGAAAGAAGGAAAGGAAGCGGAAGGUUAGAAAAGGAUAGGCAGGUACAGGGAAGUUGGUGGUGCUUAACUUCAUGGUUUAGUUCAUAAAUCACUAGACCAAUGAAAAGCCAUACCCUAAACAGAUGUGGAUGAUUGCGCAUCACCUGGAGUUCCUGAAUUACUGAGACAAAAAUGACUGGCGGGACUUUGCGUCUCCUUUUUGUGAGGAGAAUAUGAGAAGAACUUUCUACAAAGAAUAGUUGUACCAUAUUAGGUGGAAGCUUGACAGUAUUGCAUGAAAGUAAAAUACGGAAGGAGGGUAAGAUUGGGUGCAGAGUGAUCUGUCUUGGUCUAUUUUGCUCUCAGAUCCAUUCUUCACUCUUCUCUGACUCUGCUCUGUAUACUCUCCCCUGGGGCUGUGAGGGGAGGGGUGAUUUCUUUGGCUUGCAUUUUCCAUAAUGACUACUGGCUUCUGGAUUGGUUUGACCAGUAGGAGUCACUAGAGGAGACUGAAGAAGAAGAAGAAGUGAGAAUCCAGGGCAUUUCUCAUUCUUUCUUCUUGCCUUCAGCAGCAUCUCUGGCAGCAGCUGCAUCUUUUCUGUUGCUAUAUCUUCUUCCACGGUUGCAGCUUCUUCUGGUGAACUUAAACCUUGAGCUUCUGUCAAAAUCUCCUCUCCUCAUUUUUCUAGGCGAGAUUUGCUAUUGCUAAUCUAUGUGUUACCUCACCAUCCUCUGUUUGGCUUCUCAGUCUUUCCCUCACCUGUGUAACCAAUUUCCUGUAUUGUUUCCUCUGUUUAAAACAUUUUGAAUGUUUUUGGUUUUUUGCUCGGAUCCUUAAACUGACACAUUAUGAGCUUAAUAAGUAUUUAUUGAAUGAAUACACUUAAUAAAUGGGGAACUGGAAAUAUUCUGGAGCCACGACAAGCAAAAGCAUGUAGGAGGUGGAGACAUUUGAGUGAAGAUAGUGAGUUUGAUUCUAGAUAUGUAGAAUUUGGGAAAAUAUGGUGGUAAUGAAUCAUUGGCUGAAGUGUGGGAAGGGCAUUGGGACUGUGAGAUCUGUUUCCACAGAAAUGAGUCCUGAGGUAGAAGCAACAGCAAUAGAGAAAAUUAACAAUGGAGAAUGUGUAGAGGAUGAAUGACAAUAAAAGGUCAUGGAGAAAAACUUGAGAAGCCAUAGAGAUGGACUAUCAGGGAACCAAUAAAAGACUAGAAAGAUUAGUCAUAAAGUUAGGGAAAGGAUCUGCCCACCAUUGAGGGCAAUGUCCUACAAAUGAGGUAAAAGAGAUAAAGAGGGAAAAAAUAGUUAAAUGCUAAGUAGUAGAGGGCAGUCAGGGAAAAGGUAAACUAAGAAAGGUUGUUGGGUUUGUUCAUUAAGAGGUUGUUGAUGGUCUUGAAAGUGUGGUUUCAUUAGUAGUGUUGAUGAGGAUUUUUAGGCUGCUUAAUUUUAAAACAGUUUAUGAUGAGGAUUUUUAGGCUGUUUAAUUUUAAAACUGCAGAUGAGAACCAGGCUCCGAGGAGUGGAAUUUGCUUGACCUUUGAUCAGAGACAGUUGCAUUUGUGAAGGAAAUCUCCAUGCCUCCCUCUCUGCGCCAGGAGGAAGGGGGUAUGGCCUUAUCUCUGGAAACUCUUAAUGGGGAAGGCAAGAACUUAAGUUGUUUACUGUCUGGCAAACUCAUGUAACUGACCCCCCACCCCAAAAUCCUCCUUUGUCUUUAGCUGAAGAUAAUAUUUGAGCUGUGACUUCUGCCAUUUACUCAAUCCGGUUUGAUUCUUAUCUAAAAGUUGUGGGACUGCCCAAUGGCCGGACCCUACUGGCACUGGUACCAUUUUAACUUUUUUUUCUUUGUCUUGUAAAGAGAUGACUCACAUACCUAUGCCUUAAAUUUAGCCCUAACCCUCAACUCCGGGCAGCAGCAGGAGCUCUGACUGCCCGUGGGUAUUGUCCCCAGGCACCAGCUCUGCCUGCCCGUGGGUCCUGUCCCCAUGCCAGCGGGGGCAGCAGAAGCAGCAGCAGAAGCUCUGACUGCCCAUGGGUCCUGUCCCCAUGCUACACUAUUCUCUAAAUAAAAGAGCACUACUGCCAGAUCUUGAGAGUCGAAGAAAUCUUUCUUUCGACUCCCCGGCUCACCGACCCCGCAUCAUUUCGAUGGCUGAUCACCGGCUGCCAAAUGGUAAAGUAGGACAUGUAAAAUCUAAGCAUACAGAGGAAAAAUACCAAUGGAUAUUGCAUGAAUAAACUACAGAGGACAAGUGAUAAAAUAAAACUCUGGGAAAAGUGAGCAAAAAUGGGGUUCAAGACACAGGGAAAUAGAUAAACAAACAAAAAUGGCAAGUAAUAGGAUAUAUUGGAAUAUAUGAGGAAGCCAUUUGGUGUAAACCUAAUUCGGCCUGACCUUGUCUUUCCAAAAGGGCCUGACCGAGGCCAUUGAGCAUGCAUUGUAUAUCUGCUUUAGAGAUUCCCUAUGGCAAGAGCAAAAGGCCCUUGAGAUAAAGGUGCAACUUCCCUCCCCCUCCCAAAGUUGGUGUCUCCUUAAGGAUUAAGUAUCUUUCCUUAGGCUAGAAGCUGAUUGCUGCUCUCACCUGUGACCACCCAGCUGGAGACAAUAGACUUGCCUCCUGCUACGCCCACCAAGAUAGCAGACCCACUACCUGCUGUGUCCAUCAAGUGCUGUGCCGACAGGGCAAUCUUGUGACUAUUGUGGGAGGGACAUUUCAAUCAUAUGUGAAACACCCUCUUUGAGGGUAUAUAACCACCCUUAUACCCCCACUUCUUUGGAGUGCUCUGUUCCUUUGUGAAAAGACUCUCCCGGGUUAUAAUCCUAAGAUUUAAGCUCAGAAUAAACUCACCCAAAUUUUCA
ensembl:lncRNA